rnacentral:rRNA from 1 species
AGCGGAGGAAAAGAAAUUAACUAAGAUUGCCUCAGUAACGGCGAGUGAAGCGGCAAGAGCCCAACAUGAAAAUCUUCACGCAUUUCGCGUGACGAAUUGUAGGGUAUAGAGGAGUUGCUCAACCGGCGUGGGCGCAGAAGUGCCUUAGAACAGGCGGCCAGAGAGGGUGACAGCCCCGUAUGUGGUGCCCACACCUAACGAGGGACUUUUCGAAGAGUCGGGUUGUUUUGUAUUGCAGCCCUAAAUGGGAGAUAAACUUCUUCUAAGGCUAAAUAUUUGCGGGAAACCGAUAGCGAACAAGUACUGUGAAGGAAAGAUGAAAAGAACUUUGAAAAGAGAGUCAAAAGACUUGAAAUCGUUGAGAAGGAAGCGGUAGAAAUUUAUUCUUCGGCGGUGAACGGUGGCAGUUGUCUAACUUUAUGCUGGCCUAGAUACUUCAUCGGUCUGGUUGGUAUCCAAGGGAAACGGCUGUCUUGUUCUUCGUCGUGAGGCAAAAUGGAGUUGCUCGCCUUCAGAGGCUUGGCAGGGCUGGCGCUAUUCGUAGUGUACCCUGGCUGUGCCGGAAGGUGAGUGGCUUGAGGAGCUUCGUGCGAUUUUGCCAAAAUGGUUUUUACCGACCCGUCUUGAAACACGGACCAAGGAGUCUAACAUAUAUGCGAGUAUGCUGGUGGAGAAACCAACAUGCACAACUAACGUGAGCGAUGCCAAGCUUUGCAGCAGCAUCGGCCGACCAUGAUUCUCUGAUGAAAGGAUCGCGCAAGAGCAUAUCUGUUAGGACCCGAAAGAUGGUGAACUAUGCCUGAGCAGGGUGAAGCCAGGGGAAACUCUGGUGGAGGCUCGUAGCGACACUGACGUGCAAAUCGUUCGUCUGACUUGGGUAUAGGGGCGAAAGACUAAUCGAACCAUCUAGUAGCUGGUUCCCUCCGAAGUUUCCCUCAGGAUAGCAAGGACAAUAAUGCAGUUUUAUUAGGUAAAGCGAAUGAUUAGAGGCCUCGGGGAUCCAGCAUCCUCGACCUAUUCUCAAACUUUAAAUUGGUAAGAACCCUGGCCUUCCUUAAUUGAGGCGCAGGGGCUCAAUGCGUGUCCUUAGUGGGCCAUUUUUGGUAAGCAGAACUGGCGAUGAGGGAUGCUCCUAACGUCGAGUUAAGGUGCCUAAAUGCACGCUCAUCAGACACUACAAAGGGUGUUGGUUCAUAAAGACAGCAGGACGGUGGCCAUGAAGUCGAUUGCAGAGUAAGUAGUGA